UCUCUCUCUCUCUCUCUCUCUCUCUCUCUCUCUCACACACACACACACACACACACACACACACACACACACACACACACUAUGUGAACUCAGGAUUAAGAAAACGAAAACAAACCAACUAGUCCAGACAAGGCUGUAGAGGCCCAGCCGCAUGCAUCCAGGCAGAGUGAUGAAAUUGUGCUUGUGUCCCUGAGGUGCGGCUGAAGCAGCUGAAGCCUUAUCAACUCAGGUUACAUGUGGAUGUGACUCUGAACAGGAAAUUUAAUGAAAAGAGACUCCUUUGCAAUAGUAUUUGCAAUCAAUAGAAAAAUAGGUUUGGUCUCUUUGCUUUGUUUUUAAUUUUGAGGCACAGAAAUCCUCACCAAGAGUUGUUCUUCCUGCCUCAUUUAACUUCGAGUCCUAUUGAGCGGCUUGCCCUGCAGUGUGCAGGGUAAACGGCACUUUUACCGCCCACCGGAAAUUAAUGCCACUUGACUGACAGCAUCCCCGAUCUCUCUCGGAAAAGCGUGACCACAGCUCUGAGUUUCCUAAUUUGAUCAUAGACUCCUGGAGUGCCCUCGGCUGGGGACAAUCCUGGGCAGUCCCAGGCCCUGGUGGCCCGCUGGCCUUGUUUACAUUUCUAAGGUUCCAACAGGGAAUGCUGGCGGGACAGGCUUUCAGAUGACAAAGCAGAUCAACUCUGUGAAGCCUCCUAGGGAAGACAGGAUGUCCACCCUCCUAAUUCUUCCCGGCCCAAUUCCAGUCUUGCUUAGGUUUCCCUGGUACCUGUUUUUUGUGUUGCAGAAGUGAAGAGCCACCUGUGGGUGAAGCCCUGUGCAGCUUCAGAAGCCGACAGAAAAGCAGUAACAUUGUACUUCAUUGUUCAGAAAGAGGGCUUGGCAAUUAGAACAGGCAGAAAAGAAAUUAUGGAUCUAAGUUAUUAGGUCUGCACACGGAACAUGUCUUUAAAACCAACCUUAUUUUCCCGAGGGAAAAUUUUAAUACCCCCACCCUCCUCUCUGUCUCUGCCCCUGAUAGCACUCUGCUCUGCUUCCUACUACAAGCAGAUGCCAAAACAGGGACAUUGCUGGGAUGUGUCACAGAGUAACCGGCUGGGGCCUGAGCCAGACAGAGAGAUGCUGAGAAGCCAAAAAAACAAACAGUAGGAGAGAAAACAAUGAAGAGAGACCCGCCCAGCCGUCUUUCCAGGUACUCUGCCUCCACCUUUGAGAUGACCCCCAAAGAUCAUAAGAAGAAAGAGGAAAAAAAAGUCCAAUCUGUGUUGCCUAUAUACUCACUGGAGCAUGGUCAAACACCCAGAGGCCAGCCCCUUAUUAGAAAACUGAGUUCUUCCCCUUCCACAUCCUCACCAGAAGCCAGCAACUGUGGAGAGCUACACUUCAGCAUCCUUAUCACAAUUUUUAAGAGUUUUGGGGUCUGGAGAGAUGGCUCAGUGGUUAAGAUCACUGACUGUGCUUCCUAGAGGUCCUCAGUUCAAAUCCCAGCAAGCACAUGGUGGCUCACAACCAUCUGUAAUGAGAUCUGAUGCCCUCUUCUGGUGUGUCUGAAGACAGCUACAGUGUACUCAUAUAUAAUAAAUAAAUCUUAAAAAAAAAAAA